rnacentral:rRNA from 1 species
AUACGGAGGGAGCAAGCGUUAUUCGGAAUCACUGGGCGUAAAGGACGCGUAGGCGGGUUUGUAUGUCAGGUUUGAAAUCCUACAGCUCAACUGUAGAACUGCACUUGAAACUACAGACCUAGAGUAUGGAAGGGGCAGAUGGAAUUAGUGGUGUAGGGGUAAAAUCCGUAGAUAUCACUAGGAAUACCGAAAGCGAAGGCGAUCUGCUGGGACAUUACUGACGCUGAGGCGUGAAAGCGUGGGGAGCAAACAGGAUUAGAUACCCCAGUAGUCC